UAGGCUGAUAACCUCAUAGGAUACUUUGGCCC
rnacentral:piRNA from 1 species